GUGUUUGCUUGGCAGCACGUGUUUACUAAAAUUGGAAUUUUACAGAGAAGAUUAGCAUGGUCCCUGUGUA
rnacentral:snRNA from 1 species